AGCACAGGUGCUGCAUGGCCGUCGUCAGCUCGUGCCGUGAGGGUGUGGGUUAAGUCCCGCAACGAGCGCAACCCCGCCGUUAGUUGCCAGCGGUUCGGCCGGGCACUCUAACGGGACUGCCCGCGAAAGCGGGAGGAAGGAGGGGACGACGUCUGGUCAGCAUGGCCCUUACGGCCUGGGCGACACACGUGCUACAAUGCCCACUACAAAGCGAGGCCACCCGGCAACGGGGAGCUAAUCGCAAAAAGGUGGGCCCAGUUCGGAUUGGGGUCUGCAACCCGACCCCAUGAAGCCGGAAUCGCUAGUAAUCGCGGAUCAGCCAUGCCGCGGUGAAUACGUUCCCGGGCCUU
rnacentral:rRNA from 1 species